CAUGUGACCGAUGAGGACUAGCAGAUACUCUGCGAUAGGUUUUUGUCUGAUUCUUUUCAGAAGAGGAGCAAAAUAAAUUCUGACAAUAGAGGAAAGUUAGAAGUGAACCACGUAGCUGGUUCAAAGUCAUUUGUAUGACUUCGUCACGACAUGCGAGAUUCCGUCACUAGCCAAGAGCCCGGACCAGUAGACUUCUACAAAGGGACUCACUAUCGGUAGGCGACAGGAUCUUGGGUACAUCCUAGAGCCAGCGAGAUUUGGGUAAAGAU